GACAGAGGGUGCGAGCGUUGUUCGGAAUUACUGGGCGUAAAGCGCGCGCAGGCGGAUCCUGCAAGUCGGAAGUGAAAUGUGGCUGCUCAACGGCCACGCUGCUUCCGAUACUGCGGAUCUGGGGACCGGUAGAGGCUGGUGGAAUUGCAGGUGUAGCGGUGGAAUGCGUAGAGAUCUGCAAGAACACCCGUGGCGAAGGCGGCCAGCUGGGCCGGAUCCGACGCUGAGGCGCGAAAGCAUGGGGAGCGAACAGG
rnacentral:rRNA from 1 species